GAUUGCAAUCAAAUCCUCUCUGCAAUCGCGGCUG
rfam:Bacteroides sp. CAG:144 genomic scaffold, scf87